rnacentral:rRNA from 1 species
AAUAGAUACCCGGGUAGUCCAUGCCGUAAACGUUGGGCGCUAGAUGUGGGGACCAUUCCACGGUUUCCGUGUCGCAGCUAACGCAUUAAGCGCCCCGCCUGGGGAGUACGGCCGCAAGGCUAAAACUCAAAGGAAUUGACGGGGGGCCCGCACAAGCGGCGGAGCAUGCGGAUUAAUUCGAUGCAACGCGAAGAACCUUACCAAGGCUUGACAUAUACGAGAACGCUCUAGAAAUAGAGAACUCUUUGGACACUCGUAUACAGGUGGUGCAUGGUUGUCGUCAGCUCGUGUCGUGAGAUGUUGGGUUAAGUCCCGCAACGAGCGCAACCCUCGUUCUAUGUUGCCAGCAGUUCGGCCGGGAACUCAUAGGAGACUGCCGGGGUCAACUCGGAGGAAGGUGGGGAUGACGUCAAAUCAUCAUGCCCCUUAUGUCUUGGGCUUCACGCAUGCUACAAUGGCCGGUACAAAGGGCUGCAAUACCGUAAGGUGGAGCGAAUCCCAAAAAGCCGGUCUCAGUUCGGAUUGAGGUCUGC